rnacentral:rRNA from 1 species
GCAGCAGUGAGGAAUAUUGGUCAAUGGGCGCAAGCCUGAACCAGCCAUGUAGCGUGAAGGAUGACGGUUUUUUUGAUUGUAAACUUCUUUUCUGUGCGAUUAAAGUGUGGCAUUUAUGCCAUAUUGCAGUUAUCUCAGGAAUAAGCAUCGGCUAACUCCGUGCCAGCAGCCGCGGUAAUACGGAGGAUGCGAGCGUUAUCCGGAUUUAUUGGGUUUAAAGGGAGCGUAGAUGGUUUUUUAAGUCAGCUGUCAAAUGUAUGGGCUCAACCCUUAUUAUCAGUUGAAACUGUAAGACUUGAGUGCGGUGUGGGUACAUGGAAUUCGUGGUGUAGCGGGGAAAUGCAUAGAUAUCACGAAGAACUCCGAAAGCGUAGGCAUUGUACCAUAGCGCCACUGACAUUGAUGCUCGAAGGUGCGGGAAUCAAACAGGAUUAGAUACCCUGGUAGUCCGCACAGUAAACGAUGAAUGCUCGACGUUGUCGAUAUACUGUCAGCGUCCAAGCGAAAGCGUUAAGCAUUCCACCUGGGGAGUACGCCGGCAACGGUGAAACUCAAAUGAAUUGACGG